ACCGGGCUUGGUAACGCUUGCCUGUAACUCAAGUGAGGGUAUUAAAGAUGAUUGGAUAGUGGUUCAGCCCAGUCAGUUUGGCUCCAUUGGUGCACAAACUGGCUUGCCCGUUCCAAGUCAUGAGUUGGACCAUGUGGCUUGAGCGAAGGCUUGUGUCACGUGGUUCCUGAAGCAGGGGGCACUGCGUAAGGCUGGCUUCACAGAGCUGCGAAAACCCCUCACUCAUGACAGUGGAAGGAUAACGCGCCGGGGCUCCAUGGCUCCACAAUAACCUGCCUGGGCUGUCUCAAAUGAACAACCAUCAUUUUU
rnacentral:SRP_RNA from 1 species